rnacentral:rRNA from 1 species
CUAAUACAUGCAAGUCGAACGGGGUAAUUUAUUACCUAGUGGCGAACGGGUGAGUAACACGUGUUUUACCUACCUUAAAGUUUGGAAUACCCGCUGGAAACAGCGGUUAAUACCGAAUAUGUUACUGAGUUUUCUUAGUAAUGAAAGAAGCGUUUGUUUCGCUUUUUGAUGGGAAUACGGUGCAUUAGAUUGUUGGUAGGGUAAAGGCCUACCAAGUCAGCGAUGCAUAGCCGGACUGAGAGGUUGAACGGCCACACUGGGAUUGAGAUACGGCCCAGACUCCUACGGGAGGCAGCAGUAGGGAAUUUUUCACAAUGGACGAAAGUCUGAUGGAGCAAUGCCGCGUGACUGAUGAAGGUCCUUGGAUCGUAAAAGUCUGUGGUAGAGAAAGAAUGACUAAAGAAGGAAAUGUCUUUAGUUUGACGGUACUUUACUAGAAAGUCAUGACUAAUUACGUGCCAGCAGUCGCGGUAAUACGUAAGUGACGAGCAUUAUCCGGAU